rnacentral:rRNA from 1 species
AGCAGCCGCCGCGGUAAAACGGAGGGGGCUAGCGUUGUUCGGAAUUACUGGGCGUAAAGCGCACGUAGGCGGCUUGGUAAGUUAGAGGUGAAAGCCCGGAGCUCAACUCCGGAAUUGCCUUUAAGACUGCCGAGCUAGUAGGUGAGAGAGGUAAGUGGAAUUCCGAGUGUAGAGGUGAAAUUCGUAGAUAUUCGGAAGAACACCAGUGGCGAAGGCGGCUUACUGGCUCAUUCUAGACGCUGAGGUGCGAAAGCGUGGGGAGCAAACAGGAUUAGAUACCCGCGUAGUCCCUGUCUCUUAUAC